UAAAUAGGAGCUAAGGCCUUUAUUUAAAGUUUGAGCGAAAAAAACUAAAUAAAAUAGAAAAAUAAAACCUGGAGACGGUUUUGGAUAGGCGUUUAAGAGAUUCAGAUUAAAACUGGAGAUGGUUUAAGCUCAAGGAAAGAAAGAUUGGAAAUACAAGUUUCAGCGACAGAGAAUGUUUUAAAAUGAAAAUAUGAGUGGUGCGUAGAGUCUCCAAUUUUUAUUUACGCUGGUCUUAUGACCAUUUUCCUCUCGAGCCUCCGACUUACCAUCCUAGCCUAACAUUGUCCCCCUCCCCAUAUUGGCAAACCUACCCCCUGGGAGCUCCCAAAUCUGAGGCUCUGGACCAGUAUAUCUGAGUAUACCCAGAUAUACAGACCUAGAACUAAACUAGAAAACAGUUUUCUCUGGUCUACUCAAACAAACACGGAGAGAAACAGACGUAUAACUAACUUAAACAAGAUGAAAGUCCUAAUUUUGGUAUUGGUCACUGGACUUGCAGCCGCAACCCCUGCUCUUCGACCACAACAACAACGACAACAGCAACUGCAUCAGCUUCAACAACUUCAACAACUUCAGCAACUUCAACAAGUUCAACAACCAGAUGGAUACAAUACUCUAUAUUUAGAUGGAUACAA
rnacentral:lncRNA from 1 species